GAAAUAUCAAUUUUUAUUUGUGGGAAUAAAAAUUCCUUACUUAUAUAACGAACUUAGAUUGUUUACAUAUUUAUUUGUUUACUUUUUUCUUAAUCCUUGCUCAUCUGUUAAUCUGUUUUGGGUGCUCAUGAGUGACUUAGGAGAACUUAAUUGUUUCACGUGUAAUACUGUACCGAUCCGAACCAGGUCGAUGGCUCUUUGGAUUUUGCUCUAGCUAGAUUAAGUCCAUAAAUUUUGUGAUUUCUGGAGUGGAAUAUGUUUGAGCCUGACCUUGUCCUAGAUCUUGAGAGAUGAAUAAUUUCGGUAUUUUUAGAAGAUUCUGUUAGAAAAUGAUUAGUUCUUCCUUCGAGGUUUGUCGGGAAGCAUCAUAUCAUAUGCAAAUUUAUUUACGCUCGUCCAUUCUUAGAAUCUCAUAUAAUAAGGACAAAUUGCUCUGUAAUUAUUUUUAAGAUGUUGAGACGUUGAACUUUUGAGGAAGUAGGCAUUAACCGGUCCUCUUUUUUUUCCCACGUGUCCAAUUGGUUGAUCAAUGUGUUACUCUAUUGAUUUCAAUAUUUCAUAUGCUGGUGUAUUUUUAUUAAUCAUUUCUUAACUUGUGUUUCCUUUGACUGGAAUGGUUUAUUGUCAUUUGGAGCUCUUGACUUGAAUUGUAUUAUACUUAGACUUCAUUGUGCAUUAUAAGUUCUCUUAUGAACCAAUAAAAAAAUUCAUAUCUUUUUUGACAAUCUAUCAAGUCCAAUAAAAUGUAAGUUUGUAAUUAUUAUGGAAUUCAUACAUACUUUCGGAUCAUGUUUAACUCGGUUUUAAAUUAUUUGUCGUGCUAGUUGUCGCUAAACUAUAGUUUUUAUCCAAGUUACUAAUCUGUCUCAUUCUUACGUGGGUUACCUUUUUUUGUAAAAAUUUCAUCUUUCCUUUUUAUUAUUUACAUUCAUGUUUGUAAUGAUAAUGGUAUCUAUAAGAUUUAUGUUAUGAAGACUUGAUUUAGUCUUGAGAUUUUUAAUUAAUGCCUUACAUUGUUAUAAUUUUGGAGUUAAUGAAUAAUUCCUUUAGUCCAUCUUUACUUGGAUCCUUUCUUUUUUUGGAUAUCCCAAAUUAUUAUCCUCCUAGUUUUUAACUCUAUUCUGAAAUAAUAUAAUCUUAAAAGGGGAGUCCAGCGAAGAAUCAUUUUGGAAUUUUAAUUUAAUUUUUAUACCAACCUCAAUGUUUUCUUAAAUAGCAUUAAGUCAAACGGGAAUAGUUAAAAGCUGGACGGAGGGAGUUUUUUUCUCCAUUAUUAAUUCAGAAGAAGAUUCUGGGACCUACACGGAAGAUAAUUUAAGACGAUGGUGCAAAGUAACCACCUAAUAUGAUGCAAAGUAACCCCCAUUGCCCUACUUUCCUUUUGUACCUAAAAAGGUCAACUUAAUGCUUUAUUGAUACUUUCACUGCCUAUGUAUUAUGUAAUCAUCAAUGUUUUUUGUUGCAUUGUGAGAGAGAAUCAUAUUUUUCAUACCUUAAAAUAUUUACUCAGAUGCAUAUCCUCUUAUGCUGUAAGCUGUCUAAGUUUAUUACUUAUCCUGAUAUGAUCAGAGAGUUACUAAUAAAGCAACAGUUGAACCUUGGGACAGUUAUUUGCGUACUAAAAUCAG
rnacentral:lncRNA from 1 species